rnacentral:rRNA from 1 species
GCGGCGUGCCUAAUACAUGCAAGUCGAACGAGUUCUCGUUGAUGAUCGGUGCUUGCACCGAGAUUCAACAUGGAACGAGUGGCGGACGGGUGAGUAACACGUGGGUAACCUGCCCUUAAGUGGGGGAUAACAUUUGGAAACAGAUGCUAAUACCGCAUAGAUCCAAGAACCGCAUGGUUCUUGGCUGAAAGAUGGCGUAAGCUAUCGCUUUUGGAUGGACCCGCGGCGUAUUAGCUAGUUGGUGAGGUAAUGGCUCACCAAGGCGAUGAUACGUAGCCGAACUGAGAGGUUGAUCGGCCACAUUGGGACUGAGACACGGCCCAAACUCCUACGGGAGGCAGCAGUAGGGAAUCUUCCACAAUGGACGCAAGUCUGAUGGAGCAACGCCGCGUGAGUGAAGAAGGCUUUCGGGUCGUAAAACUCUGUUGUUGGAGAAGAAUGGUCGGCAGAGUAACUGUUGUCGGCGUGACGGUAUCCAACCAGAAAGCCACGGCUAACUACGUGCCAGCAGCCGCGGUAAUACGUAGGUGGCAAGCGUUAUCCGGAUUUAUUGGGCGUAAAGCGAGCGCAGGCGGUUUUUUAAGUCUGAUGUGAAAGCCCUCGGCUUAACCGAGGAAGCGCAUCGGAAACUGGGAAACUUGAGUGCAGAAGAGGACAGUGGAACUCCAUGUGUAGCGGUGAAAUGCGUAGAUAUAUGGAAGAACACCAGUGGCGAAGGCGGCUGUCUGGUCUGUAACUGACGCUGAGGCUCGAAAGCAUGGGUAGCGAACAGGAUUAGAUACCCUGGUAGUCCAUGCCGUAAACGAUGAAUGCUAGGUGUUGGAGGGUUUCCGCCCUUCAGUGCCGCAGCUAACGCAUUAAGCAUUCCGCCUGGGGAGUACGACCGCAAGGUUGAAACUCAAAGGAAUUGACGGGGGCCCGCACAAGCGGUGGAGCAUGUGGUUUAAUUCGAAGCAACGCGAAGAACCUUACCAGGUCUUGACAUCUUUUGAUCACCUGAGAGAUCAGGUUUCCCCUUCGGGGGCAAAAUGACAGGUGGUGCAUGGUUGUCGUCAGCUCGUGUCGUGAGAUGUUGGGUUAAGUCCCGCAACGAGCGCAACCCUUAUGACUAGUUGCCAGCAUUUAGUUGGGCACUCUAGUAAGACUGCCGGUGACAAACCGGAGGAAGGUGGGGAUGGCGUCAAAUCAUCCUGCCCCUUAUGACCUGGGCUACACACGUGCUACAAUGGAUGGUACAACGAGUUGCGAGACCGCGAGGUCAAGCUAAUCUCUUAAAGCCAUUCUCAGUUCGGACUGUAGGCUGCAACUCGCCUACACGAAGUCGGAAUCGCUAGUAAUCGCGGAUCAGCACGCCGCGGUGAAUACGUUCCCGGGCCUUGUACACACCGCCCGUCACACCAUGAGAGUUUGUAACACCCGAAGCCGGUGGCGUAACCCUUUUAGGGAGCGAGCCGUCUAAGGUGGGACAAAUGAUUAGGGUGAAGUCAUAAC